rnacentral:rRNA from 1 species
UACGUAGGGUGCGAGCGUUAAUCGGAAUUACUGGGCGUAAAGCGUGCGCAGGCGGCGGCUCAAGUCAGGUGUGAAAGCCCCGGGCUUAACCUGGGAAUGGCGCUUGAAACUACAGGACUGGAGUAUGGCAGAGGGAGGUGGAAUUCCACGUGUAGCGGUGAAAUGCGUAGAGAUGUGGAGGAACACCGAUGGCGAAGGCAGCCUCCUGGGCCAAUACUGACGCUCAUGCACGAAAGCGUGGGGAGCAAACAGG